rnacentral:piRNA from 1 species
UCUCUUUUAAUAGAGUCUAAAGUUGGGUA